GACGAACGCUGGCGGCGUGCUUAACACAUGCAAGUCGAACGGAAAGGCCCUGCUUUUGUGGGGUGCUCGAGUGGCGAACGGGUGAGUAACACGUGAGUAACCUGCCCUUGACUUUGGGAUAACUUCAGGAAACUGGGGCUAAUACCGGAUAGGAGCUCCUGCUGCAUGGUGGGGGUUGGAAAGUUUCGGCGGUUGGGGAUGGACUCGCGGCUUAUCAGCUUGUUGGUGGGGUAGUGGCUUACCAAGGCUUUGACGGGUAGCCGGCCUGAGAGGGUGACCGGCCACAUUGGGACUGAGAUACGGCCCAGACUCCUACGGGAGGCAGCAGUGGGGAAUAUUGCACAAUGGGCGGAAGCCUGAUGCAGCAACGCCGCGUGCGGGAUGACGGGCUUCGGGUGGUAAACCGCUUUCGCCUGUGACGAAGCGUGAGUGACGGUAAUGGGUAAAGAAGCAACGGCUAACUACGUG
rnacentral:rRNA from 1 species